CGGCUGCGCGAGAGGAUGAUCUGAUUGUGCCUCCAUGACGGCAUCGUGAUGCCCACCGCCGACGGCGCUGCGUCGCGACCAAAGGGGCACCCGGCCACGGCCGGGGACUCACUGCAGUUGAAGCACGCCAUCUCGCCACCAUGUAUGUUGUGUGUUCUUGUGCUGCAGGUCCUUGGGGUUGGGUGUUCUUGUCGCCACCAUGUUCAUGCAGACACGAAUUGGACUGAGAAAUGCUAACAGAGGAGGAGAAGACCAUGCAAGUCCUUGGGGUUGGGUGCGGCAACUCGCGGCUCGAAGACAAUCUUUUGUGGUGGGGCGUCGCUGCCGGCGGCGGCACCUGCACAGACCGUCUCGCUGGGAACGAAGAGAUGCUCCCCUGAUUUGGAGCUGUAGAAAGGAGGUGGUUGCAGACGCAAAGUGGGGACACACAACUCCCAGUCAUAAUAUUCUUUAUCUUGGCUCGUUGUUUGGGGAUGGACGCAUCAAUCUGAUCGCGCUCUCCUCCAUGCCAAACGGAUCCUUGGUUCGGAGGUGCGCGGCGCCGACGAUGACAACCUUUCUAUCGACGCAAGGGCAGCAGGAGCUCAUGACGCUGUUGAUGCCACCACCAUGCACAGGGUUGAUGCAAGGUGGGACAAUGCGAUCACUAAUGGGGAGAACAUAAAACUUCAAUUGAGGGCAUUGUGAUUCUCUAGCUACAUGUAUCAUAGCUUCUGCAGGAGGGCGUCACCUGCGGCAUCACUUGCAUCGACCUCUCACCGAUCACCGUCCCGAGGAUGCACGACAGACUGGCGGAGCAGGGCACCAGUGAUUGUUUCACCAAUUUGCUCGACUCAUUGUUCCCUUCCUCUGUCCACGCAACAUUGCCCAUUGUUGCUAAGUUGUUAAUUCAUCAGGCCCAUUAUUGCGGCUACAUAGUCUGUUCAUCUUGCCUGCCUUCUUAGGAGAAACCAAUUUACUGAAGGUUGGCAAUUCCGAAGUUAUUGCCUUUCUACUUUAAACUGAAAUAAUUCCUCUUUGUCUUUAAUAUGGAGAUGGGCACUGAACUUUAAAAAACAGUAUGAACUCAACCCCUUCUGUAAAUCAAAUAUUUCAUUUGCGGGGACGACGUGGGGCUCAUGUCGAGCACUUCACCUGCAAUGGGUGUGGCCUUCUCCGUCUGCCAAACAUGCUACAAGUACGAGCACCAUGAGGGAACUGCCUGGAGUGCAAGACCCGCCACAAGCUCCUCAAGGGUCAGUCAGGCUCCACCCACGGCCGAAGGCACUUGCAGAUGUGAAGAAUAUCCAUGUCCGAUUACAUCGCCAGAAAGCAAAAACCAUGAGAGCCCACACUAAUCAUCAAGGGAUUUUUGAAACGAGCAGAAGAUUAGUAACUUCUACGACAUCAAAGAUCUGACCUUUUAGAGUAUGCAUCAUAUUGAUUUACUUAUUGAUUUAUUCACACUAUAUCAGAUUUGUCUUGAACGUGAUACUUUAUUGACUGUACUGGACACGGGAAGUUAACUGUUUUAAUUAUAUAGGAUUAGUCUGCACCAAUUGCUGCAUAAGUUCUCCUUGAUACCAAUUUACAUACUUGUGCUACUAGGCCUUUGGUCAGUUUGCAACUGGUAUUUUAGACAUGUACGAGUA